rnacentral:misc_RNA from 1 species
GUAUAGUAACGUAAACAAUCAUGGCGACGAGCGGGGGACCGCUGAACUUUCCGAAAUGGCUUAUAGAUGGAAAAGAAACUAUUGUCCAAACACCAGAAUGGCUAAACUUUACGAAAGAGCUAUACGAUGCAAUCGAACAGCAAGUUAAGGAGAGUCGGGUGGACAAUUUUACAGACUUAACACAAACCGAACGAUCUCUCUUUAUGGACAGAGCAUGCAAAGCUCUCGAAAAUAGUGAUUCGUUCAAGAAGAUGUAUAACAGCGUCGCCGGUUGUAUAGAUGCUUGUUUAAAUCGAGAAGUUUCCAGACAGUUGCUCGAGGACUUUCCGUUGGAUACUAAAUCUGAUUUGAUUUUAACACAGGCGCAAGACGGCGCUAUUAGUCUCCUUAGAAAGUGGCCGGAUAUGAAGUACAAGUUGCAUGUUUAUUUAAACCAUCAGUUACCGUCCAAUUUACGACUCGUUGCCUGGAGGCUUUUCUUAGAGAAUACUAAGAGUAUGCUGUUACCUUUUUCUAUAUUUAUUAAAUGGGUGUGUUCUUUUAUCCUACAACAAUGAAUCUAGAAGGAAAGGCAACGAUCCGGGUAUUCUAUUCAAAAGGAUUGAAUUGAAUAUUUUUUCAUAAAAACACCACGUAUGAAUAUAAACUAUUUCAAAUAGGGUGAUGAAGAAUAGUAAGAGGUUAGGUUAGAGAAAGGAAUAGAGAGGGGGGGUAGAUGAGAAAAAUGUUAAAAAUCAGCGAGAGUUCCUUUCCCAUUUUUUUCCACCCCUAUUCAACAAUAGAAAUAAAAGAGUAAAGGAACUUUUUAAUACGUUUUUUUACGGCAAGAACAUACAUAAUAGUUUCCUUUUUUAUACUAAAAAAAUAUACAUUAUUUUGCUAAAUUCCAUUAAUAAUAAACAGUUCGUAAGGAGUAUACUGACAUUCUAUCAACAAAUCCACGUUACGCAAUUUCUCCUCAAGAUUUAGAGAUAUCAAGAACGUGCGAACAACUAUUAAUACACGAAUCGAGUUUUAACGAAUUAAAAGGCUAUGUAGGUAAGUGAAGAGAGAGAGAUUUUAAUGAAUUCAUAAACUUUCUCUUUUAUUCUAAUAUUGCUAAUAUUCUAUUUAAAAAGUCAUGAUUUUCUUAUAUACAUAUUGUAUAUAUGUGUGUGUGAACGUAUAUCUAAGUAGAGGAAACUAUUUGAUUAAUUUAUAUACAAUAUGUAUAUAUUGUAUAUAUACACAGUAUCUAUAUUACACAGGAUAAGUUAAAAGAAGAGGUACUUGAUUAUUGAAACUCUUUUUGUUUCUUUCUCACUUGGUUUUCUUCGUAUCACAAAUUGUCUCUUGAAUUUGUUGUUGCUGACAUUUUAAAACGGCACAAAUGUAGUAUAAUUAGUGGCAUUUUAAAACUAUUUUUAGAAAAAGUAUUACAAUUAAACAUAUUUUAAAUAGGAGCCUUCUAUGCUAUGAAAGCUGUUCUUUCCUAUCAUCAUGCGAGGAUGAAAACUGAAAAAAAACUACCAUCAGCUGAUUUCAUGCUUGUCAUACCUUUCGUUCAAGUUUCAUUGCCAAAUAUUUCUAAAAGAGAACCGGCAACAUCAUCAGUUGCCGCUUUACUGGUCGAAGAAUAUUUAACUUUUAUGGAAUCGAGGCCAAAUUUUAUGAUGCAUGCAGCUCAGAAACAGAGUCAAGAAGGUCUGGCAGCGGUAGCGGUCAAGGUAGGAAAACAUCUGAAAAAAGAAGCUAACGAAUUAGUCGAACCGAUUGUAAUGACAAGUUAUGAAAAUAAAGAGAAAAUUUUAGAAUCUGACAAGGGACAGGAAGAGGCGUUUAAAAAAGCUUUAAUGGAAUUGAUUCAUCCUUUAUUACGUACUUUAUUUGUUGGUUAUCUAAGAAUGGAUACCCUUCUAUUUUGUUGGGAUCAAGUUAUAAUUGGCAGGGAUGUUGCCGAAUGGAUGUCAGAAAUUGUACCCGCUCUCAUAGCCGUCUUCUUUCACAUCUUAAGAAAACAAUUAAAAAAUAAAUCAACGGUAGAAGAAUGGCACAAGUCAUUAAAGGAAGAAGGACAAAAGCUAACUGCAAGUCAAUUUCAAUACGAGAUAAAUAGAUACUUUAUAGAAGAUUUAAGAAAGAUAUUAAAUCAAGAAGAUAGAGCAGCAAUGCCAGUUCUAGAUCCAACUUAUACACCAUAUCCUGCUUGGAAACACUGGCACGAUGAUCCGGUACCACCAAGAAUUGGACCAGUUCAACGUCGAACAAAUAGAAAUGCACGCCAACUGGAACGCGAGAAAGAGGCUAAGGAAAAAGAAUUAAUAGAGGAAAGAAAACGUAGAAUUCUUGAGGAGGAAAAAUUAAAAGAAGAAGAAAGAUUUAAUAGGGAAUUAGCUAGGGAUAGGCGGAGGGAAGAAGAAGCAAGAAUAAAAUUAGAAGAUGAAUUAGAAGAGGAAAAGAAAAGAAGACGAUAUAUAGAGGAUGAAUUAAACAAGCUAAGAAAUGAAUUGGAUAAUUCUAAAGCUGCAAGGAAAAAGCUCUCACCAGAGGAUGUAAACAAUUAUCUGGUUCCACCCGCACCUCCUGCAGCUAGGAGUAUGAGUGUUCAGGCAGACUUACCAACUCAUACACCAACCCCUGAUAAGCCAACUAGACAACAAGCUCAACAAGUUAUGAGAGACUUACUUUGCAAAGUUGUACUAUCAUUUACAAGAGUCAAUCAUAGUACUGGUCAAGAAUUGAAGAAGUUGAACGAGGAUACGGUAUCCAUCAUUAAACAACAUAAAAGAGAUUCACAGGCUGCUGAGCCUUCAGAGCCUUCAGAGCCAAGAGAGGAACAAUGAUGAAAAGGAUUAUAUUUAUUUUCUUUUUUUUCCCUCUAAAAAUACAAGUCUUUGGUAGGAAACUGGCCCCUGGUGAAUUGGAAACGAUGACACCAGACCACAGGGAUCGCGCUUGCCACGCUAUGAUGGAAAUUAUAAGAAGAGGUCUCGUUAGAAGAAGACAACAAGAAUUAGCCGCCCAACAACCUUCUUACUUUUAAAAUAUCCUCUUAAAAACCGUCCAUUUUAUUUUUUGAUCAUGGUAUUUCAACUUUAUGAUGUUAUAUUAGUAAAAAAAAUACUUAAAAAUGUAUACAAUACAUAUACAAUACGAAUCAUAAAAU